rfam:Clostridium sp. DMHC 10 contig_15, whole genome shotgun sequence.
GAAACAGUAUUCUUCUGAAACUGUAGCCUAAAUAAAAUUAAUUUAUAUUAUUCGACUUAUAUCCUUAAAGUGGAAUAAGAACGGAGG